CAGAGAGUAGUUUAAUUAAAAUAUUAAUUUUGGAAAUUAAAGACAAAACUUUCUUUUUUCUCUGA
rnacentral:tRNA from 1 species